rnacentral:rRNA from 1 species
UCCACGCUGUAAACGAUGUCGAUUUGGAGGUUGUGCCCUUGAGGCGUGGCUUCCGGAGCUAACGCGUUAAAUCGACCGCCUGGGGAGUACGGCCGCAAGGUUAAAACUCAAAUGAAUUGACGGGGGCCCGCACAAGCGGUGGAGCAUGUGGUUUAAUUCGAUGCAACGCGAAGAACCUUACCUACUCUUGACAUCCAGAGAACUUAGCAGAGAUGCUUUGGUGCCUUCGGGAACUCUGAGACAGGUGCUGCAUGGCUGUCGUCAGCUCGUGUUGUGAAAUGUUGGGUUAAGUCCCGCAACGAGCGCAACCCUUAUCCUUUGUUGCCAGCGGUUCGGCCGGGAACUCAAAGGAGACUGCCAGUGAUAAACUGGAGGAAGGUGGGGAUGACGUCAAGUCAUCAUGGCCCUUACGAGUAGGGCUACACACGUGCUACAAUGGCGUAUACAAAGAGAAGCGACCUCGCGAGAGCAAGCGGACCUCAUAAAGUACGUCGUAGUCCGGAUUGGAGUCUGCAACUCGACUCCAUGAAGUCGGAAUCGCUAGUAAUCGUAGAUCAGAAUGCUACGGUGAAUACGUUCCCGGGCCUUGUACACACCGCCCGUCACACCAUGGGAGUGGGUUGCAAAAGAAGUAGGUAGCUUAACCUUCGGGAGGGCGCUUACCACUUUGUGAUUCAUGACUGGGGUGA